ensembl:lncRNA
CAAAAAUCCAAUUUAUCCCACUGAAGCUCCAGCUAACAACGUAGGGCUGAUAGCCGGCAUCGUCGUUGCAGUCAUUGUGGUCGUCGCCAUAAUAGUUGGACUGUUCUACGUCUUCAGUGUGCGUGGAUAUAAACUGAGCACCUUGAGCUUGCCAGCAAAAAGCACCAGUAGAAUUGAUGUGCCUGCCUUUACCAACCCCAACUUCGUAGGAGAAUCGGACACAUAAAUCGUCGAGCUUUUCACAUUAACACUGAUAUUUUUUGCAAAUCAAUAACAUAGUUUGUUAUUUUUAUACAAUGCAGACUAUCCCUGCUCUCAAAGGGCAAGACAGAACAUGCAAACUCCACACAGAAAAGCCUCAGUUGGCUGGUGGAUUUGAACCCAGAAACAUCAGUGCUGCCAGUCAACAUGUUGUGAUACGCUAAUACCAUUAAAAUAUAGUGAGAUAACAUUUCCCCAUUUUUCCACAUGCAGCAGUAAUGAUGUCGAUAUAUAGCCAGUUGCUGUUUUGCAGAUUUUAUAGCAAAGUGCCAAAUUAUUCUUUUUUUUUUUUUAUUUUUAUUUUUUUAAAUAAAACAAACAACCGUGUUUUUAUUUCCAGUGUUUAUUCAUGUCUGUACACUGCAACACAAAAAUUUUAUUUUAUUUUUAAACAUAUUUUACAAAAUGAAAAACAAACAUCCUUCAAAAACCCUUUUUAG